rnacentral:lncRNA from 1 species
AAAGUUUGAGAAGCAUUUCCCUUCACUGUUACUCACUCCUGGCGCUCCUCACCUAGUCUUUUUUAGCACAGGAGCAGAGGGGCUAGAGACCUAGAAAUACAGUUCUUUCACAUUUAUCCCCUUCCCUACACACACAGGUAAUGCUAGCAUUUUUGAUGUGAUGGGUCAACCACUACUAGGGUUUGCUGCUGAGUCUAGCCUACCCUGACAGAUCAUUUCUUUGCAUAAAGAAAUAUUUCUUUCAAGAGGCUGAUAGCAUCCCCAACGAUUCUUUGACAGCUGAGAAGUCUUUGCCUGCACAGAGCACAGAGAAAGAAAAAAAAUUACCUCUGGGAUAGGGGCUAAAGAGAGAGAGUUUGUCAAACUCACACAAAUAGCAUUGAUGAAUCUUAGCACUGACUCAAUCAGAACACCCUGUUACAAAUUGAAGGAUAGAAGAAAUAUUCAGAAAGGAAUUACCAUAUGUGAAUAUGCUGGGUUUGGUUCGACUUUGUAAACUGUAUUGCAUUUUAUUUGAUGAGAUGGUAAAUUUUCAAUAGAAACAGAAAAUAUAAAAAUAUUAAGAUGGAAAAAAAGAAUUCACUGUGUCUCCAGUUUUUCUCUUCAUAAUGGCACAAAGUGGAAGCAAUGGACUCAAAAUAACCCAGAGGCCUGGAACACAUGGGGAAUAUAAAAUAUUGAUUUGGAAGCCUGGAAGGGCUGCCUUAAGAGCAGGUAUCAGAUAAUCAUGGAAAAGAUGAAGCAAGAAGACAAUCCACCAAGUAAAGAGAAAGCCAUACAGAAAUGGGGAUUGGGUCAGCAUGGAAAAUUUCAGUUCUCUCAUGCAAUUUAAUGACAAAGUUAAUCCUCUAGGUCCAUUGGUUCAACAUCAGGUUCUGCUGCUAUGAUCGACUUGCUGGCUCAACUCUGCAUUAUUGCCACUCUGGGACCCUGAGCUUCACAGACUCCUUCCUGAUCGCUGAGCAAUCUCACAGAUGUGGCCCAGCGUCCAAGAUGACAUUUGGACUGCUGAAGCUGACGAGGACAAAAAGAGAAACGAGGGUGGGGAAGAGAGAGAGAGAAGAAAUAUGAAGUCAGGGCUUCCGAAAUCCCACAAGCUCGUCUAUCCUUUUAAAUCCAAAAGUGAAGGAUUAUGGUUCAAGUGACUUCAAGUUGGAAUUAAAUGGUUCGAAGAAAUACGACCAUUUCAGAAAAAAACAUACUUUUUCUGAAAAGAAAAGAAGAAAUUUUUAAAUGUGUAUUUUUUUAUACAUAGUAGCCAUAAUAUUUCCUGUGAUCAGAGGAGUAU